GGUCCACCUAAAAAGUAAUAUACCGCCUGUGGUUGCAUUGAUAAUGCCAAUAACUCUACCGUUGGAACAGUAGGAUGAAAAGGUUCAAGUCAUCCAGCAGCUUAAUGGAAUAAAGAGCAGAAGUAGUGUCGCAUGUGCUUUAUCAAGCACAUCACAGGUGGAUGGGCUGUUGGAGGCGUUGGAACAUGAAUGCAGACGGUGGCAUUGUGUGCGUUAGGAGUUCACGUAAACAACGUGGAGGUAUUUCAGAGUGUCUCGGGACGAUGUUGUGCACACCUUCUAUGCUGAAAGUC